AAAUUCUGAGGAUCGAAUAAAGCUGUGAAAGCUCCAAAAUUUCCAAAGUGUUUCUCACACACAUGAUUCCAUCAGUCUGGCGAUGCAGCUAGUGAGACUGACUGGACCAUGGUUGACAGGUGAGGU